GACGCACGCUGGCGGCGUGCUUAACACAUGCAAGUCGAACGAAGUGGCGAACGGUUGAGUAAUACGUGGGUAACCUGCCCUCCUUUUUGGGAUAAGCCUUGGAAACGGGUUCUAAUACCGACUACAGGGGGAUGGGCUCGCGGCCUAUCAGCUUGUUGGUGGGGUGAUGGCCUACCAAGGCGGUGACGGGUAGCCGGCCUGAGGGGGUGACCGGCAAUGUUGGGACUGGGAUACGGGCAGGACAGAUACGGGAGGCGGCAGUGGGGGAUAGUGCACAAGGGGAGAGAGGCUGAUGCAGCGGCGCCGCGUGGGGGAUGAGGUCUUAGGGGGUGGAAACCUCUUUCGCUAUCGAACGGGUAGGUGGAGAAGAAGCGCCGGCUAACUACGUGCCAGCAGCCGCGGUAAUUC
rnacentral:rRNA from 1 species